GGCGGCAUAGCUUAGUUGGCUAGAGCGUCCGGUUCAUACCCGGAAGGUCGUUGGUUCAAGUCCGACUGCCGCUACCA
rnacentral:tRNA from 2 species